rnacentral:rRNA from 1 species
AGAGACAGCAGUAGCCGCGGGAAUACGGAGGGUGCAAGCGUUAAUCGGAAUUACUGGGCGUAAAGCGCACGCAGGCGGUCUGUCAAGUCAGAUGUGAAAUCCCCGGGCUUAACCUGGGAACUGCAUUUGAAACUGGCAGGCUAGAGUCUUGUAGAGGGGGUAGAAUUCCAGGUGUAGCGGUGAAAUGCGUAGAGAUCUGGAGGAAUACCGGUGGCGAAGGCGGCCCCCUGGACAAAGACUGACGCUCAGGUGCGAAAGCGUGGGGAGCAAACAGGAUUAGAGACCCCUGUAGUCCCUGUCUCUUAUACA